rnacentral:lncRNA from 1 species
UCCAAUGUAAUACUUCUCUAUGUGAUUCAAUUGAAUAUGAUUUGGAACAUACUUCCUAAGUCAUAUUCGUAUGCUUUGGCCAAAGACUCUCGAAUCAUAUCUUAGAGUAUUCUCCUUCCACCAUGGAAGGUUAGAGAUUCCUUGUUGUGCAUUCAUAUGCCUACAUGACUAGAUAGCUUGACCCCAACAAUGACGUGGACACCCUCAAUGGAAUGCCUUUGACAUGAUCAAAGAUCAAGGACCUAACCAUUAGACAUCUAUGAUGCCUCAGGUCAAAGGACUACUUUGCAUAUUGCAACUUAUGAGUUCUUACAUGACAUGUAUGUUCGAACUCUCUUUUGAUCGUUGUUCAAUGUACUUGAUUACUCUUUUAAGCACCUAUGUGUUUGUCUUAGUAUCCAACACUAAAUGACUUGAGACUAGUCAUACUCACGCUUGAGUUGACAUAACACAUACUAACCUUAACGGAUUGUCAAUGCCCAAUUGGCAAUCCUAUGGCUAGGAACGUUUUAGGAAUGAACAUAAGAGAAAGGUCUCGUU